rnacentral:rRNA from 1 species
GACGAACGCUGGCGGCGUGCUUAACACAUGCAAGUCGAACGCUGAAGCCCAGCUUGCUGGGUGGAUGAGUGGCGAACGGGUGAGUAACACGUGAGUAACCUGCCCCCUUCUUUGGGAUAACGCCCGGAAACGGGUGCUAAUACUGGAUAUUCACUGGCCUUCGCAUGGGGGUUGGUGGAAAGGUUUUUUCUGGUGGGGGAUGGGCUCGCGGCCUAUCAGCUUGUUGGUGGGGUGAUGGCCUACCAAGGCUUUGACGGGUAGCCGGCCUGAGAGGGUGACCGGUCACAUUGGGACUGAGAUACGGCCCAGACUCCGACGGGAGGCAGCAGUGGGGAAUAUUGCACAAUGGGCGAAAGCCUGAUGCAGCGACGCCGCGUGAGGGAUGACGGCCUUCGGGUUGUAAACCUCUUUCGCUCAUGGUCAAGCCGCAGCGUUGGGUUGUGGUGAGGGUAGUGGGUAAAGAAGCGCCGGCUAACUACGUG